rnacentral:lncRNA from 1 species
CAGAGUCCUGGUUUUCAUUAGAUCUUAGGUGGCCAAGGGGAAGUGCCAUUGUGAACCUUGGUUAUUUUGUCCAACACUAAAGGGCCAUUACCAUUGUAGAUGAUCACUUUGAGAACAAUAUAUAGGAAGAGUGCAAAGGCUGGGGAAACACUUCCCUAGUUCCAGAUACUAUGAAACAUCUAUGCAAACUCCUCUGUGCUGGGUGUGGUAGUACACAUCUCUCUAGUCACUGCACUCAGCCACAGGCUGAGACAGAAUGAACUGCAGUUUCCAGGUCAGCCUGGACUACCUAGUUAUUUUAAGGCUAAGCCUGGAUUGUAUAGCUAGACUCCUAUCUAACCUAACCAAACCAAUCCAAACAAAACACAAACAAAAACAAAAAACAGUCACCGACCAAUGAAGGAAGAGAAUACAAAAAAGCCCUUAAUACCACAAGUUUAGUUUUAUGAAGGGUCUCACUUGACUCAUAUUCUCUCCCAACACUGUGUGUGUGUGUGUGUGUGUGUGUGUGUGUGUGUGUGUGUGUUGCUGGUGAGUGAACAUGGGAUUUCACACACACACUAGGUAAGUGUUCUAUCACUGAGCUAACCCAUCUUUCCCUUAUAUUUUUAAGGAUAUUUAAUUUUAUGUCCUUGUGAGUUUUAUUUUCUCAUAGCAGAACUCAGUUUCGCACCUAUUUUCUUUAUCUUUUGCCUAUGCACUCCAUGCCCCACCAGCACAUUCUAGGAAAUGUCACCCAAGAAUGUUCAUUCAGGUUUGUUAAUCUUUCGUCAGUACUCUGUUCCUUAAGAGCUUCCUACAUAGUGGAUGUUCACAUUCCCUAACAGUGACAUUUUUUCACACAUUUUAGAAAAAUAAGUUCUCAUUAUCUGCUGUCUUCUGACAUUUGACAGUCUUCUCUUUUUUGACUACAGCACAUCCUGCAAUACCAACUUACCUAAACCACUCUUCUUUAACAUAAGCGCAAAUAGUAAAACUGCAGUAAAUAGCUGAUCUUUGCCCCAUUUGUUUUGCAUGCUGAUUUUAAAUAUGUACUCUCAUGCAUUACUGCAUUACUUUUAGUCUUCCACUUGUGUCCAAACCAUGGUUAAAGUUGCAACACUGUCUUUUAGUCUCAGCAUGUCUCUUCUUUGCCCCUUGCUUCACACAUGCCCCAGACUUGAGUUAUGAGUUAUCAUUUUCAGAGGCAUAGAUGUAUUACCCUGGGUUGCAAACUGACACACCUGCAUUAUCACUGAAAAAGCAAUGAAUUAGCACAAGAGUCUCUAGUCCACUUUAUAGUCUAGUCAUUCAGGCUCUGUGACUAGUGUGUAUAGAAUUUAGACCAAAAACAAUCCGUGAAUGGGAUGGAGGAGUGCUGGAGCAUCCUCUGACCACUCUAUAUGUGUUACUGCUUUUGUAUCAGCCUUGUUGGUCAUCAGAGUAUGCAAACUACCCACUACUGAUUUGUCUUAGUUACGGUUUCCAUUUCUGUGAAGAGACAGCAUCUACAACAACUCUCACAAGGAAAACAGUUACAGUUUCAGAGAUUCAGUUCAUUAUCAUGUAUGGGAGCAUGGCAGCAUGCAGGCAGACAUGGUGCUGGCUACAUCUUUAUGAAAAGGCUACAGGAAGUGGACUCAAGCAUGGCUUUGGUAUAUAUGAGACCCCAAGCCCACCCCCACAGUGACAUAUUUCCUCCAACAAGGCUAUACCUACUCCAACAAAGCCACUCCCUUCUAGGGGCCAAUUACAUUCAAACUAUCACAUGAUUGCUUCAGGAUUUGCUGAACUAAGAAAUGGGCAGGUGAGAGUAUUUAGCAGGCACUAUGCAGGUGCACCUUCCCCUCUGUGAUGCUGAGUGAAGGGAUCAAUUGUGAGACUUUCCAAGCUCUGGGUAGUGGGUAUUAGCAGAGGGAGGGGAAGAGCUCUCACUGUGUUUCCUUCUGCUCUAGUUGGUACUGAGUGUUGCAGACACUAACCAGGACUGAACAUGGUACUCCCUGACUCAAAUCUUAUGGGUGAUCACUGGAAAUCUCCAUGUGCCUGAACACUGAUGGUUUGUUUUUCUGGCGUGUGCUCUGUUUCUAUAUAAAGCAACAGAUGUUUUGUUUUUGCCUCUUUCCUCUCUGUCCGUGGCUCAGAACGUGGGUGAUAUUAACCAACUGUGACAGGUUUCAGGUUUUUAUUUAUAGCAGUGGAGACUGUUUUUUUAUGUAUUUGGAGAUUUCUAGGCCUCAGAAGCUGAUACUUUGUGUAUUCUCAACUUAAAAUCCUAAAGGGCAGGAGUUCUAGAAACUGGACAUUUCUAAAAGUUAAGCAUUAGUGUCAGCAGGGAGUAUAGAAUUGGAGGAAACCAAUGAAAUUUCGUAUCUUUCACCAAGGCAAAAAUUCAUAAUGGCUUAGACGGUUCUGUGAAGUUUUAAUUAUAGAUAUAUGUACCUUGCUAUAUGAAAUGAUUUCUUACUUGGCACAUGAUCAAAAACACUCACAAGAUUAAAAGGGUUCAUGUAGAGAGAUCAAAGUGCUGACUGCUUUGAUCAUUUAUUUUGGUUAACAUCAAUGUCUGCAUGCACUGUCCAUCUAUCUCCAUUUCUAAGUGUUUAUCCAAAACAAAUGGAAGUAGGUCUCAUACAAAUACUUUAGCACUAACAUUCCAAGACACUUCAUGUGUAAUAACCAAGAAGUAGAAACAAUCAAAACAUUCAUCGGAUGCAUGGAUAAAGUGGCAUGUGUGCUUGAUGGAAAUGCUACUUGACAAUAAAUGAGAUGCAAAGUAUUGAGACAGUUCACAUAUUAAAAUAAGCAUGGCAGCUGGAGAGAAGGCUGUUUGGCAGAGUUCUUGCUGCACAAGCAUGGGGAUCUGGUACAGAUCCCCAGUGUCCAUGUUAAAAGCCGAGCAUACAGUGUCCUCCAGUAAUCCUAGUACUGAGGAGGCAAGCACAAGGGGAUCCCUGGAGCUCACUGGCCAGCUAGUCUAGGCAUACUGGUGAGGCUCAGGUUCAGUGAGAGGCUCCUUCUCAAAAGAUGGAGGGGCCGGGGCAGGGAGGGGGUGGUGGUGACCAACAGAGAACAAUGUGUACCAUUAACCUCCAUUAACCUCUUACCUUCACAUGCAUACACACACACACACACACACACACACACACACACACACACUGGGGGGGGGUCAUGCCAAAAAGGUCCAUCAAAAAAAUAUACAUUGCACAGUUGGAUUUAUGUAAAACUCUAGGAAAUGCAAAUUAAAUAAUUUUCUCAUAGAAACUGAAAAUGGUGUUGUGUCUUUAAUUUUAGUUCCAUGUGUUUAUUGUUAGUAUAGAGGGAAAAAAACUGUUGUUUUUUUUUUUUUUUUUUUGUAUCUGUGACUUAGUCAUAGAAGAGUUGGUGGUUUUCUUUUUCUUUCUUUUUUUUUGAGAUUUCUUAUGUUCUAUUUUGACAAUAAAAUGCUCUUCAAUUAAAGACAGUUUCUUUCUUACUAUCUGCUGUGGCUUUUAUUUGUUCUUCUUGCCUGUUAUAGUUUCCAGAACUUCCAUUAAUGUGUCAAACAUGACUGGUAAGCAGCCACCUUCCCUGUCAUGUUCCUAAACUCAGAAGGAAAACAUUCACUCUUUCACCACUGUGAUGGCACCUGUUCUUUAUGAAACCGAUCAAGUUCCUUCUGGUUAUAUUUUUCUGAGUGUAUUUUUUUUUUUUUAUCAUGAAUGGGUGUUGAAUCUGUCAAAUACUUUUUAUAGGUCCUUCUCUAUACAGCUGCUCAAUAUUUAACCCUUGUUCUCUGCGGCUCUUACAAUUUUUUUUCCACCUCCCACUUCCUCGAUUUUUCCUGAAUUUUAGUCGUGGAUGUCUCAAUCAUGGUUGGGUAUCCCACAGCCACUUGUUCUCCGAACUCUCUGAUCUGUGGAUCUCUGUAAUAGUCCCUAUCUGUUGAAGAAAAGAAAAAAAGAAGAAGAAGAAGAAGAAGAAGAAGAAGAAGAAGAAGAAGAAGAAGAAGAAGAAGAAGAAGAAGAAGAAGGAGAAGAAGAAGAAGAAGAAGCUUGUUUGAUCAGGGUUCAGAGAUACACUUCUGUGGAUACAAGUGUUAUUCUUUUGUUUAAGCUGCAGCUGCUGAUACAAAGAAAGGAACAACUGAUAAACAACCCACGUGGAGUUUAUUUACCACAAAAGGGGGGAGAGAGGGAUGGGUAGUCAGCCAACCCAAGAGGAGCCAAAAGGAAGAGAGCAAGGGAUGGGUGGCAGAACCUUUUAAAGGAAAGGUUGCAUAUGCGCACUGGGGUUUUGCACCUCACAGGUUGCAAUGCAUGGCGGGUGAGUGCCCCGUUGUUAGGGGACUGGGUCAGGGUCAUCCAGGUGUAUUGUUCUUACAACAAGGGUAAGUAUUCAGAAUGAAAUUAGGAAUAUCAGGGGCUGGAGAGAUGGCUCAGAGGUUAAGAGCACUGAUUGCUCUUCUAGAGGUCCUGAGUUCAAUUCCCAGCAACCACAUGGUGGCUCACAACCAUCUGUAAUGAGAUCUGGUGCCCUCUUCCUGCCUGCAGGCAUACAUGCAGGCAGAAUAUUGUAUACAUAAUAAAAUCUUUUAAAGAAAAAUGUUUAAAAAAAAAAGAAAUUAGGAAUCAGAGUGGAUUAGGAAAAUGGCAGCAGUAGGGUCUACAACCUCUCUAGCUGUUUGUAGUUGGCCAAGGUUUAUAGUACUACUGAGCAGGCCUUAGACCCAAUUAAAAAGCUGUUGGUUACUCUCAAGAUAAAAACAUCACUAUUGCACCACUGAGGAUAUCUUGCCUAGCUGCUCCUUGUGGUUCAUGGGCUUUAAAGCUUGGCAGGACAAUUGAUUAAUUUUUCUCCCCCAGCAGCUUUCUUGACACAUUAUGAACAUAUCUCUUCCAUGAACUUAGCAUUUAAGCCAGCAACUUGACCUUGGGUUAAGUACAUUGAUCUUCAUAAUGUACAUGGACCUCAUUCAGUCAGUGAAGGCCUUACUGUCAAGAGACUGGUGUCUUCAGCAAGAGACCUCUCUCUCUGCGGGUUACUUUCUUACUCAAACGGCAACCUUUUCCUUAGUUUUCAGGCCACCUCUUACCCUGAAAAUUUUGGACUUGCCAAUUUGUACAAUCCCAUGAGCCAUGUCCUUAAGAUCCAUCUCCUGACACAAGCACACACACCAUUGGUUCCAGCUCUCUGGAGACCCCUGAAUAACAGGACAACACACUCAAUGCUGCCAAGAUCAGUGAUUAAUUCCUUACAUCUAUCUCAUCUCACCGAAACUGCUAGCAACCUCCUUCUUGAAAUCUUCCGCAAACUACCUUUGUGUGGGGGACGGAAUAUCCCUGUUAUGGAAUAUUCUAGGACCCAGGCCCUGGCUGACAUAAACAGCACUGGCGCAUUGUAUUGUUAGUUAACACCAGGCUGUAACUGUUUAUGGUGGCCGAAAGGUGAUAUGCCUCCUAAUUUGCAUCUCUGUAGCUUAAGAGAUGCAUCUCUGUAGCUUAAGCCUUGAGUAGGCCCAUACCUGGGCUCAAGACUCUGCCUGCUUGACCAAGAGCUAUUUAGGCAACAGAAUCACUUGAUGUUAGCAAUAUGCAUUGUGAAAGAUGCUUCCUGAUGUUACCCCUGCCCUUAGAGGACUAUUUAAAUGGACCUCUCAUUAAACUGGGGCUGCUCGGGCGUCAGCUGGGAGCCCUCCUGAGAUGAUACGGUGUUUCCUGUCUUAUCAUUAGCGUCGUUGGGUAAUUAAACUUCCCUAGUCCACACACCUCCACUCAGGAACCGACCCGGGACUGUACGGCUGGCUCCGUCCACAGUCCUGAAGACAUCGGUGAACUGAAGAUAGGCAGUUCUCUAGGAGUCCUCCAAGCCUUCAGAGCCUGAUUCAGACUACUGAGGCAUCCAGCCUUAUAGGCAGAUCAGCUACUGACUUUUCAGCCUCUCCAGCAUGAGGCUGGCUACGAAGAUAAUAUUGGUUAAGCCAAUCUAAUAAAUCUAAUUGUUUGCUUGGGUUUGUUCCUCUAGAGAAUCCUGAGUAAUGUAUGUGUAAAGUGCUGUCUUGGUUUUCCAUCUAUUUCAUUGGCAUCUGCAACAUCCAAAAUGGAACUCAGCCUCUACCAUUUACUCCUUUUUUCCCUUCUCUCCAUCAGCCUUCAUCAUCCACCAAUCCAUGCAACUGCUCUAAUGCCUCCUCUACUCAGGAGUGUUUGGUAGCAUGCCUGACCUUCUCUACUCUUAGAGUGAUCUUAAAUCUGUCCACUCUUGGAAAUCUCUGCAGGUCUCUUGGUCAAGCCCUAUUUGUCUCUCCAGCACCGCAGUGCGCUUUUCAGCCUUUCAGUGUGCAUUUAACAUACAUCAUUUCCUGGGAAUGCAUCUUCUGAUCCCCGCCUAUACUAUACAUUUUCACAAAUCUUUGGUUUUGUGAGCAAAAUUCCUUGUGUCAUAUUAAGAUUUUAGUUUCCUGGAUGUGUAUUAUAAUAGUCUCUCAAUCUCUCUCUCUCUCUCUCUCUCUCUCUCUCUCUCUCUCUCUCUCUCUCUCUCUCUCUCUCUCUUUGUGUGUGUGUGUGUGUGUGUGUGUGUGUGUGUGUAGCAGGAAAACUGACAUUUUGAUAUUCAAUCUUCCUCCUGGUAUCUCUGGUGUAGGGCAGGAAUUGUAAAAAUAUUUAUUGAAAGCUGAUUGAACAAGUGACUUGAUGUUGGUUAUCAUGGCUCACAUCUUUAGUCACAGCACUCAGGAAACAGGCAUCAGAUCUCUGAGUUUGAAGCUAGCCUAAUCAAUAGUGAGUUCCAAGUCAACUAGAACUACAUAGUGAUAUCUUCUCUCUCUCUCUCUUUUUUUUUUAAAGAGUGGCUUGAUAUAAAGACAGCAGAAUCAGAAAGUUUACAUAUAGAAUUACCCAUUACUUUACUGUUUUAGAAAAGGAUGAUCUGCCUCUAGUGACUUGUUUUCUCUAUCUUAUGGAAGAAUUAUAUGAGAUUCUUUUAGCACUCUUCAUCUGAGACAUCUUAACAAGAACUGUGAGACUACCGCAUGACCAAAUGCACAUUUUCAUAUUCAGGAUUUACAUCCAUACUUUUUAAAGGAACCCAGAGGAUUUCCUCUGUUGUUUCUAUAUGGACACUGCAUUGCUUCUUCUCUCUGAAAAUGGACACAGUCAUGCCUCAGUUAACUUGGGGAUACGUCCUGAGAGGCACAUUAUUACUCAAGUUUGCCACUGAGCAAACAUCAUAAAAUACACUUAUAUAAACUUGUAUAGAAUAGCCUACUACUUACCUAGACAGUAUAGGAAAGCAUGUUGCUUCCACAUGCAUGAUUUUUUAAAAGUGUGAGAUGAUAUUAUGCACAGGAAAAAUGAUGCAAUCAAGAGACACAAUAAACAUGAGAUAGCCAGACUGAUACCAGCAUAAUAUGGCAUAUUGAUUUUGCUUAAUGUAACUCUUAAACACUCUAACAUAACAUGAUUAAUGUAAAUACAGAAUCCAACAAUGUAGUCAAUAUCAAGUAUUCUAGGCACACAUAACUGUACAUACCAUCUACUACACUCUUACUAGAUGCAUAGGUGAUUUAUUGAUACAAACAUGAAUGACACAUUACUCUUAGCUCUUCAUGAUAGCUACAAUGUAAAUCAUUGAUAGGAGCUGUGCACCUUCCUUACACUCCUAUGGGAGCACUAUCAAAUGUAUGGUCAUUUUUUGAGGCACAUUUAACUUACAGAAGUAUGGUAUAGAACAAAAGGAGAAACAUUUGCACAUAAUUUUUCUGCUUUGCAGUUUACUGGUGCUUAUUCUAUUGUUCUGCUAAAAUAAAGCCAAUUAAGAUCUUUAAAUUGCUAUGUGCUCACACACACACACACACACACACACACACACACACACACACACACACACACAGUGUGUGUAUGUAUGUAAACCAAUUUAGAAAAUUUUUAAGGGAUUUUAUUCCGACAUGUUGGGGCCAUUCCCAAGUUUCCAAAGCAGGCAGGUUUUUUAAAAAAGAUUUAUUUAUUUAUUUAUCAUGUAUAUAGUGCGUGCCAGAAGAGGGCACCAGAUCACAUUACAGAUGGUUGUGAGCCACCAUGUGGUGCUGGGAAUUGAACUCAGAACCUCUGGAAGAACAGUCAGUGCUCUUAACCCCUGAGCCAUCUCUCCAGCCCCCAAUUUAGAAAUCUUAAUUGGUUUUGUUUUAGAUUCUAGAAUCAAGCAGCUUCAUUCCACAAAAUAAAAUAAAUGUUCCAAUGAUCCAAACACAGGGGGAUGGCCUUACAGAGAGAAAAGAUCUGAUGGAAAGAGAAACAAACAACAAAAAGUAGAUUGGUUAUUUCUAGUUACUGUCCUUGUAAGGACAGGACAAGGAUUCGAGACACUAGAUAACUGGUUUGUUAACCUCAGGUUAUUUCUUUUUAUAAGAAUUAAACCACAGGAAAAUUUUAUCAUGUCAAUUGAAACUGGGUUGCUUGGAGAAUUUAGUUGUUAUCUCUCUGCUCUUGAUUUCUCAGGUCAGUAGACAGUUUCAGCUUGGUGAUGGGGAACUGUAAAGUGAGCAACUCCCAUCUUUAUUUUUAGCCUGGUGUGCUGGGGCCCAGUGAAGGAGUCUAGCCUAAAACGAUGGCCUCCUGAAAUUCUUAUUUAACACUUAGAAAAAAAAUGCACUAAGAUGCAGAAAUAGAGACUCAAUAAUAGUAAGUAUCAUGACCAAUGAAAAAUAGCUGUAUUUGGAUGGAUAAAUCAACACACAGAUUACAGGAACUUUUAGUACCUACCCUAGAGGGAUGCAUACAGACAUAUAUAUAUAUAUAUAUAUGUGUGUGUGUGUGUGUGUGUGUGUGUGUGUGUGUGUGUGUGUGUGUGUGUAUUCAUCUUACGGUUUUUAUUGUUGUGAAAAGAUACCAUGACCAAGGUAACCCUUGUAAAGAAAACAUUUAAUUGGGGUGGUUUUCUUACAGUUUCAGAGGUUCAGUCCAUUAUCAUGACUGGGAGCUUGGCAGCGUGCAGGCUGAUGUGGUGGAGAGAUAGCUGACGGGUCCUACAUCUUGCAGGCAAUAGGACAUUCACUGACUGUCACAUUGAGUGAAGCUUGAGAAAAACACCUCAGAGUCCACUCCCUCAGUGACACAUCCCUCAGAAGCCCCAUCUCCUAAUAGGACUCCCUUUGAGGACCAUUUUCUUUCAAACUACACACAUACACACCUGGAAUAAAAAUAAUGUUGUCACUUUCAAGGUCAAUUCUUUGUACUCACAGUUUUGCAUGUUAGAUGCAGUACUGUAAGUCAAUCAAUGCACAGAGAAGAUGAUCUGAAUGAUAAAUGUUCCCCAUAGUCUCAGAUAUUUAAACACAUGGCACCCAACUAGUAGUGCUGUUUGGGGAGUUGGUGCAACCUGGCAGGAUGAAGUCACUAGAGACAGAUUAUGAGAGCUCAUAGCCUCACCUAACUUCCAGUUUCCUCUCUCUGCUCUAUGUUUGUGAUUGAAGGUGUCUGGUCUCACAGCUUCCUGCCCUGUCUCCUGCUACCAUGCCACCUUCACAAUUAUGGACUCUCCAUCUGACACUUUAAUCCCAAAUAUUAUGACUUUGGGCAUGAUACCUUAUUAUUGCAUCAGAAAUGUAAAUAACACAUGGUCUUCUAUCAUUAUCUACCUGUGUGAAAGUCAGUUAACUGUUGACAUGAACUUCAUUUCUUAAAUAGGAUGAAAAUAUCAGCCCUGUAUAACCCAAGGAAUACUUUAAAAAUCACCUGAAAUUAAUGUAUGUAAAAGCCUUUGAAAACAUAUAAUCCAGCAAGUUUUUCAUAUUAUUGGAUUUUGAAAGUAAAAACUGAAAACAAACACUGGAAAUGGGACAGAAAAUUACUAUGGAAAAUAGUAGAAAAGAGAGAUAGGUAUCUUUAAAAUAAUCUCUGGCUUUGGACAGCCAGUAACUUCUGAGAACAGAGAGUGUCUGCAAACUGAAGGCCUGUGGGAAUGCUGAAGUUCCUCAGAACUAUUCAGCCCAAAUUAGUACUGAAGACAGUGAAGUGGAUGAGGGGAGGGGCAGAGGUGGAUUCUCUGCUUAGUCUUAGCCAUUAAUUCACACUGCUCUCUGAGCAGACUCCCAUUCUAAUAUGUCUAUUUAUCUCCCCGGGCUACUUACUGGGACCAAGACAAGCUGAGCCAGUGAUUGCAGUGGAGCCCUCAGCCAUUGCAUCAGAUGGCAGGGUUAUCCUUAUGGUCACAGAGGAUUCUAUAAGGUGCCAACCUUGCUAAAGCAGAGAGAGCAUCAAUAAGCAUCUUACCUAGCUAAGCAUAGGAAGAGCCGGCCCUUUCUGGAUGCUCAGCACUUUCACAUCUCUCAUUCCUGGGAAAAUUCCAGCAGCACAUACUCCUUGGUCUGGUGGGACUGCCGAUGCUGUCUUAGACCCUGGAUACCAUAUGUGAGAUGAGAAUAAUAGUAAUUAUUUUUUCUGAUAGAAAGAGACAUUUAUCCCUAUAUAUGAGAAUCAUUAUGCUGUAGUUAAAAAAAACAAACUCAACCUCUGGAUUCAAGUAAAACAGACCAUGAAGAUAAAGCAAACACAGCUCUGCUAACAGUAAUUCAACUUCAUGAGUUAGAAAACCUCCCACUUAAGACAAGUCAGUUACAAACCGAUAGACAGGACAACUGAGUAAAGGAAGCCUUCAGAUAAGUUAGAAAGAUAUAUACCCUUUCCCUAUGGGCUGCCACAGUUUGUGGACUGGCCCAAGAGUGAGGGCAGAUAUGGCUUCACUCUUUCCUUCUGUCACUCUCUCCUUAUUUUCUGGCAGGGUCCCAAAUCACAGUUUAUCCCUCUCUGAAAAAUAAGGUGUACUUCUCUACUUCCUAGAACACAACACUCUCAGAAAGUCAAGAAUGAGAGGUAAACCCAGUGUGGUAGUACAUGCCUGAAGUCCCAGCACACAGGGCACUGAAGCGAGAGAGAGACUACCUACCACACCACCAUGGCUAACAUAACCUCAAAAGGUAGCUAUGAUAAUAACUAUAAUAGUAACGAUGCUGGUAUAAGAGAGAGGGACAGGUGUGAAAUUGAGUUGGAAAUCUGGAACCCCAAUAAAAUGGCACAAGGAGAAGUUCUUGGACUGUGACCAUCCAGCUUCAAUAAGAUUGCAGAGCAAUCUGUGCCCAGGGUAAGGCCUACCUCCAACCCUGAUAUCCCUUACUUCUUCCCAGUUUUAUAAUAGCAGAUCAUAAAAUCAAGUAGUUUACUCUAGGCAGAGCUUUUACUAUACCAGGUAUUUUACAUAGACUCAUUAACUCUGGAAGUUGCUAUCUCCCUAUUCAGGUAAGGAUGAUGCAUAGGGAUAUUUAAAUUCAUAGGCCAGGAUAUUUAAAUUCAGCUGAUGGUUGAUAGAGCCAGAGUCCACACCACAUCACAGUUCUGCCCUGCUGUGUAUAGCUAUUCUGUAUUAAGCCACAGAUGAAUGGCUCUCUUUAAAGAUCUGAAGAAAGAGAAUAAUAUCUUCAUUUCACCUGGUCUUUUAGAACUCAGAUUUUCAGUACUUCCAGUAAAGUGACCAUUCAAAAUCAGUUCCCUUCAAGUAUCCCUCCAUACAACCGCAGCACAGUCCUAGGAAGAGGAAAAAAAUUCACUUGUGUUUUUCUAAGAAUGUAUCUGACCGUGUCCUAACCCUCCAGCCCCAAACAAUGGCAUGCAGUUCCUGAGCAGUGAGUUGAAAGAAAGUCCUUGUGAUGGCUACUCUUGUUUGUCAACUUGAAUACAUCUGGAAUCAACUAAAACCCAAAAAUGGAUGGCACACCAGUGAGGGAUUUUUUAUUAAUUUGAAGUAUGAAGAUCCACUUCUAAUCUAGUUCUUGAGAUGGGGGGACAGGGACACACCUUUUCUCUAUGCCGUACCUUCUUCUGUUGGAAGCUGAAUAAGGAAGGAAGCUUUUAUUCUUUGCCUGCUUGCUCUAGCCUUGCUAGCAAAAUCACCCAUUCAUUGGCAUUAGAGCCUAUUUCUUCUGAAUUCCAGCAUAAACUGAAGACCAGCUAAGACAUCCAGCUUGUGGACUUCUGGACUCUUGGACUUCCCAUUCCCAAACAGCUAUGGUUGUAUUAACUAAAAUGCAGCCUGUCAUUAAGUCACUAUAAGUCAUUCAAAUAAAUCCCAUAUAUAUAUACUUGACUCCUCAACCGGUGAUGUUAUUUUUCUUGAGUACAUGGCAUCCUUUCUUCACUUUCUUUUGCCAGCAUAAGGUGCAUUACUUUUCUGAGUCCACAGGCAGAAUUAAGGAUCACAGUUCAGUACUUGGGGCUCCAUUCAUAUAGUGUUCAUAUAGGUCAUUAACAAAAGCAGUUCCCUCACAUCCUCUCCAGCAUAGAAUGCCAUAGGUGUUUUUGAUUCUAGCCAUUCUGACAGGAAUAAGAUGGUAUCUCAGAGUUGUUUUGAUUUGCAUUUCCCUGAUGGCUAAGGAUGUUGAGCACUUUCUUAAGUGUCCUUCAGAAAUUUUAGAUUCCUCUAUUGAGAAUUCUCUAUUUAGCUCUGAACCCAACUUUUUAAUUGGAUUGUUUGGUGUUUUGGUGACUAGCUUCUUGAGUUCAUUGGAUAUUUUGGAAAUCAGCCCUCUGUCACAUGUGGGGUUGGUGAAGAUCUUUUCCCAUUCUGUGGGCUGCCAUUUUGUCUUGUUGACUGUGUCCUUUGCCUUGCAGAAGCUCCUCAGUUUAAGGAGGUCCCAUUUAUUAAUUGUUGAUCUCAAUGUCUGUGCUACUGGUGUUAUGUUCAGGAAGCGGUCUCCUGUACCAAUUCGUUCAAGGGUACAUCCCACUUUCUCUUCUAAGAGGUUCAGUGUGGCUGGAUUUAUGUUGAGGUCUUUCAUCCAUUUGGACUUAAGUUUUGUGCAUGGUGAUAAAUACGGAUAUAUCAGCAAUCUUCUACAUGUCAGCAUCCAGUUAUGCCAGCACCAUUUGUUGAAGACCCUUUCUUUUUUCCAUUGUAUAGCUUUAGCUUCUUUGUAAAAAAUCAGGUGUUCGUAGGUGUGUGGGUUAAUAUCAGAGUUUUCAAUUAGAUUCCAUUGGUCUACCUGUCUAUUUUUGUGCCAAUACCAAACUAUUUUCAGGACUAUAGCUCUAUAAUAGAGAUCGAAGUCAGGGAUGGUGAUGCCUCCAGAAGUUCCUCUAUUGUACAGGGUUGUUUUGGCUAUCCUGGGUCUUUUGUUUUUCCAUAUAAAGUUGAGAAUUGUUCUUACAAGGUCUGUGAAGAAUUGUGUUGGGAUUUUGAUGGGAUUGCAUUGUAUCUGUAGAUUGCUUUUGGCAAGAUGGCCAAUUUUACUAUGUUGAUCCUACCUAUCCAAGAGCAUGGGAGAUUUUUCCAUUGUCUAGAAUCUUCUUUAAUUUCUUUCUUGAAAGACUCAAAAACGGGAACACUCCUCCAUUGCUGGUGGGAGUGCCAACUUGUACGACCACUUUGGAAUUCAGUAUGGCUGUUUCAGUCUA